rnacentral:rRNA from 1 species
GGGUGCUCGAGUGGCGAACGGGUGAGUAACACGUGAGUAACCUGCCCUUGACUUUGGGAUAACUUCAGGAAACUGGGGCUAAUACCGGAUAGGAGCUCCUGCUGCAUGGUGGGGGUUGGAAAGUUUCGGCGGUUGGGGAUGGACUCGCGGCUUACCAGCUUGUUGGUGGGGUAGUGGCUUACCAAGGCUUUGACGGGUAGCCGGCCUGAGAGGGUGACCGGCCACAUUGGGACUGAGAUACGGCCCAG